UAUGGCUCAGAACGAACGCUGGUGGCGUGUCUUAUACAUGCAAGUCGAGCGAGGCAGCAAUGCCGAGCGGCGAACGGGUGAGUAACGCGUAAGCAAUCUGCCCCAUAUCAGGAAAUACCCGUGCCAACGCGCGGUUAAUGUCCAGGAGAGUGGCCAGCUGCAUGGCUGGUUGACUAGAGAUUUAUCGGUAUGGGAUGAGCUUGCGUCCGAUUAGCUAGUUGGCGGGGCAACGGCCCACCAAGGCGACGAUCGGUAGCCGGCCUGAGAGGGUGAUCGGCCACAUUGGGACUGAGAUACGGCCCAGACUCCUACGGGAGGCAGCAGUAGGGAAUAUUGCACAAUGGGGGAAACCCUGAUGCAGCAACGCCACGUGUGGGAAGAAGCAUUUCGGUGUGUAAACCACUGUCAUGAGGGAAUAAGGCCCGCCUUCGGACGGGAUUGAAUGUACCUUGAGAGGAAGCACCGGCAAACUUCGUGCCAGCCGCUGC
rnacentral:rRNA from 1 species